rnacentral:sRNA from 1 species
AGACGGUGUGUUUGAAAACGGUUCGAGC